GACUCACUAGCUCAACUGGCAGAGCACCUGACUCUUAAUCAGGGGGUUCAGGGUUCAAAUCCCUGGUGGGUCACCA
rnacentral:tRNA from 1 species